CUGUCUCGCUAUUCCCGAAAAGGGGGAAAGGAUUUGGGGCGGGCAGUCCUGGAGCCUCUCGCUGGCCUUACGGAGAGAGAGGGCUGGGGUGGAGGAGAACCCUGGGGAGCAGGCAGAGGUGGGUUGGCGAGGACCUUGUGUGACUUGUGCCGAGCAACUUCACUUAUUCCCUGGGGCUGGCAGUUGCCAAACUGGGUCUUGUAGAUACUAAGUCUCCGUAGAGGUCUCUUAGGUAUGUUGCAAAUGCUUGAUUUGAAUUACUUUUUUUAAACAAACGUAUUUUAUAUGAUUUUUAAAGCUUACUGUAAAAGACUGCCCAAAUGUGCUGUGUCUCAUUUAUGGUUGUUUAUUCAUGUGCAAGAGGAGCUGACUCUGCUCUCCACAGAAGGGCUGCUGGUCCCCUCUGGCCGUGAUUUUGAAACGUUGUAAGCAGCAAAACCCCCUUCCAAACCGAGAAUUCUGCAGUGCCUCAAUCAAUAAGACUGAUAGAAGCUAUAUUUAUUGGGAUAGAGUGAUUUUAUAAUCUUUAUUACACAAUUGAUAACCCAGGGAAAGAAAGAUUGAGCUGGAAAGAGGGAAGGCACAGGGGAAGGGAGACAUCACCAGGCUGCAGGUGGGAGAGGGAAUGGAAUGGUGGCUCAGACAGGUGCAGGCGGAGUGAAGAAUUCACAGAGAGUCUUGCCUUUCCAGCUCCUGGCUCUUUCUUGCUGAUGGAUUGGAUGUGGGGCCGCAGGGUGGCAAGAGAGAAAACCUGGAUGACUCCUGAGAUUUUGGCGUGAGCAACUGGGCAGGUUCUGGUGCCAGUUGUUGAGGUGGAGUGUGGGAAACUGAACAUGGCCUCGUGUGUGCGGGUGCACUUUUGGGCAGUUACAGGAGGUAGUGGUAAGGAAUGAUAACAACAGAACAUCAGGGUAAGCCUGAUAAGGAAUUAUAAAAAUCAGACCAUCAGGGUAAACUCAAUGUAACUACUGAUGCAAAUUGAAUAGCCUCUGGCUGUUUACUAAAAAUGGAAUAAGGGAUAGUAACUGUAGCUUUAAUUCUGUAACAACAGAGCUACCUGAGUGCGUUCAAGGUUUUUCUAAAUAAUAAAAUUGUCCAAUCAUUCUCUAUUUUGAAUUGGCAUGUUCCUUUGGGUGUUGGUUUCUUCUCUGCCCCCACAAAUUUGGUGACAAGGAUGGGACACCUUGAGUGAGCCUUUCCACGGGGCAAAUUGGAGGAUGUGUAGCCAUCUUCGGUCAGACAAGAGGCCCUGUUUGCUGAAGUCUUUCUUCAACACUUUGACUCAGACAUUCUCUCUGGGACCCCUGAGCCCAUCUAACCUCCAGUCCGUCCAUCAACUGAUUACUGCUCAGUCACCUCAGACGAUACCACUGGGAGCUGGAGAACUGCCUAGCUGAGCCCUGCCUGAAUGCCUGACUCAUAACUCAUGGUGCAGGCACUGAGACAUCAAAGCAGCCAAGUGCCGCCCUGAUGUUGAGCCCACCGAGUUCUGAGUGCUGCGAGGCUGCUGCUGUUGGCUCUGCGUGAUCAGGAGAGCGGAGAUCAAAGGUGCCCAUUAUGUGCUGAAAUACCCGAAGUUGGAAAACACCACAAGAAAGCCAUGGGACUUUUAGCCUGUGUGUUGCUGUCUGUGGCCAAUGACCAAACCUCUGCAUUGGAGCCUGCAGUGAAGACAACAGCUCCAGCAUGAGUCCUCCCCUCCCUUCUCCUCAGCUUCCCAGAAAAUCCUUUCACCUGUGGCCGACUGUGGAGCAUGCCUAACUCUGCUGAUAUGUCUUCCUUGGAUGAUCCUCACAUUUGGUGUCCAGUAAACCUUCAUCUAUUUAUUUCUGCCUCAGCAGCCUUAAUUUUGGUCGACAUUACCAUGUUGCAGGCCCUGAAGCAGGACGGUGGGGUCUGGUGGCCCCACUGCCAGUGUGGAUGAGGGAUAUUCCUCUGGGAGAAUUCUGAGCUCAGAGGGUCCUCCAGAGUAGACGAGGGGCCAGAGGAGGUUUCUCCGAGUGGCCUGAGGGUACUUCCAAGGCCAAGAGGCAGAUGCAAGUGAGGGAAAGGCCAUGCUCCACCCAGGAGGUGCAGUUGGAGGGGCGCCCAGGAAGAAGGAAGAAGUGAAAUAAGGACGCGCUGGGAGAAGGUGAAGACGCUGUCUCAUCAUGUGUCGAAAGUGUGAUUUCACUGUGGGGGCAACGGGAGCCCCUGAAGGAGUAAUCUUGUUACUCCUUUAAAUAUACACAUGGUACAAAAUUCAAAAGAUGCAGAGGGUACACUGAACAGUGAGUCUCUCCCACCCUGUUCGUCAUCUGGGCCCCUUUCUAGGGGUGCUGCCGUGCCCCGUGUGUUCGCGUGGAGCGAUUCCACACGAACGCAAGCAAACCCACACACUCCAAGCCUGCAGCUUUGUGCCGCUCGCUUGCUCUUCCUUUGGAUGCUCAUGCCACAGUUGCCCAUCCUUCUAUUAGUGAUGGGCAUUUGUGUGCUCCUAGACUUUGUGUGUGUGUGUGUGUGUAGCGUGUAUUUUCAUGUUAUUAAGCAUAUGUUGCCACGAUUACUCUUAUAAGUCUUAUGUGGGAAGACUAGAUAUGUCUGUCAGUGGGGCAUGGCGAUGGCCAAGGGCUUGGUGUGAGCCUGGCUGGCCAGCCAUUCUGGAGGACAGAGCACCUCAGGAAGCUGGGUUGAGUGGUUGGUGUUCACCAGAGAGUGUUGCAGUCACCUGUUCACCACCCCUACCCAUACCCCGCGACCCUGC